CAUUUUUGAGUUGCAAAAGCGUAAUACUUAAGUAUUAUAUGAGAUUUAACCUCUCCUCAAAAACA
rnacentral:tRNA from 1 species